rnacentral:rRNA from 1 species
AUUGAACGCUGGCUGCAGGCCUAACACCUGCAAGUCGACCGAGCGGCGGACGGGUUAGUAAUGUCUGGGGAUCUGCCUGAUGGCGGGGGCUAACUACUGGAAACGGUAGCUAAUACCGCAUACCAACGGCUGAACCCAGAUGGGAUUAGCUAGUAGGUGGGGGAAAGGCUCACCUAGGCGACGAUCCCUAGCUGGUCUGAGAGGAUGAACAGCCACACUGGAACUGAGACACGGUCCAGACGCCUACGGGAGGCAGCAGUGGGGAAUAUUGCACAAUGGGCGCAAGCCUGAUGCAGCCAUGCCGCGUGUAUGAAGAAGGCCUUCUGGUUGUAAAGUACUUUCAGCGGGGAGGCGUUACCCGCAGAAGAAGCACCGGCUAACUCCGUGCCAGCAGCCGCGGUAAUUC